GUUGAACGCUGGCGGCAGGCCUAACACAUGCAAGUCGAGCGGAUGGGGGCUGCUUGUUUCUGGAUUUCGCGGCGGACGGGUGUGAAUUGCAUAGGAAUAUGCUUGGUUGUGGGGGAGGAUGUCUGGAGACGGGUGGUGAUAAUGCCUGAGUCGUGAGGGAGCUGCAGGGGGAUGGUUGGACAGUACGCUAUGAGAUGAGUCUAGGUCGGGUUUGCUAGUUGGUGGGGUAAGGGCAUACCUAGGAGGGGAUCGGUAACUAGUCUGAGUGAGUGAUCAGUCACACUGGAACUGAGACACGGUCCAGACGCCUACGGGAGGCAGCAGUGAGGAAUAUUGGACGAUGGGCGGAAGCCUGAUCCAGACAGGCCGCAUGUGUGAAGAAGGUCUGCGGAGUGUAAAGCACUUUAAGUUGGGAGGAAGAGCAGUAAGUUAAUACCUGGCUCUUUUGUCGUUACCAACAGAAAAAGCACCGGCUAACUUCGUG
rnacentral:rRNA from 1 species